CAUGCAUGUCUAAGUAUAAACAACUUUAUACGUGAAACUGCGAAUGGCUCAUUAUAUCAGUUAUAGUUUAUUUGAUGGUCAUUGCUACUUGGAUAACCGUAGUAAUUCUAGAGCUAAUACAUGCAUCAAACCCCGACUUCUGGAAGGAGUGUACUUAUUAGAUGGAAACCAAUGCGGGGCAACCCGGAUCAUGGUGAUUCAUAAUAAUUUUCGGAUCGAUCGCAAGAUCGAUGCAUCAUUCAAGUUUCUGCCCUAUCAGCUUUGGAUGGUAGGGUAUUGGCCUACCAUGGCAUUAACCGGUAACGGAGAAUUAGGGUUCGAUUCCGGAGAGGGAGCCUGAGAAAUGGCUACCACAUCUAAGGAAGGCAGCAGGCGCGUAAAUUACCCAAUCCUGACACAGGGAGGUAGUGACAAUAAAUAACAAUGCCGGGCCUUCGGGUCUGGCAAUUGGAAUGAGAACAAUUUAAAUCCCUUAUCGAGGAUCAAUUGGAGGGCAAGUCUGGUGCCAGCAGCCGCGGUAAUUCCAGCUCCAAUAGCGUAUACUAAAGUUGUUGCAGUUAAAAAGCUCGUAGUUGAAUUUCUGGCUUCGGAACACGGUCGACCUCUAGGGGCCUGUACCUGUGGAUCGGAGCCAUCCUCGGGGAGAACAUGUCUGCUAUUAAGUUAGUGGGCAUGGGACCCUCGUCAUUUACUGUGAGCAAAAUAGAGUGUUCAAAGCAGGCUUACGCCGUUGAAUACAUUAGCAUGGAAUAAUAAGAUAGGACCUUGGUCUAUUUUGUUGGUUUGUACUCCAAGGUAAU
rnacentral:rRNA from 1 species